UUGUAGCAAUACAACUGGCGCACGGCGCACGGGUGCGUAACACGUGGGUAACCUGCCCUUUGGUGGGGAAUAACUCCGCGAAAGCGGAGCUAAUUCCGCAUAAGAUCCGCAAGGAUGAAAGCCGCAAGGCGCCGAAGGAGGGGCCCGCGCCCGAUUAGCUAGUUGGUGAGGUAAUGGCUCACCAAGGCAUUGAUCGGUAGCUGGUCUGAGAGGAUGAUCAGCCACACUGGAACUGAGACACGGUCCAGACUCCUACGGGAGGCAGCAGUGGGGAAUCUUGCACAAUGGGCGAAAGCCUGAUGCAGCGACGCCGCGUGGGGGAUGAAGCAUUUCGGUGUGUAAACCCCUUUCGAUCCGGACGAAACCCCGCAAGGGAUUGACGGUACGGAUAUAAGAAGCCCCGGCUAACUACGUGCCAGCAGCCGCGGUAAGACGUAGGGGGCCAGCGUUGUUCGGAAUUACUGGGUGUAAAGGGUUCGUAGGCGGUGUAGCAAGUCGGGAGUGAAAUCUUUGGGCUUAACCCAGAGACUGCUUCCGAAACUGCUGUGCUUGAGUGUGGGAGAGGCGCGUGGAAUUGCAGGUGUAGCGGUGAAAUGCGUAGAUAUCUGCAGGAACACCCGUGGCGAAAGCGGCGCGCUGGACCACUACUGACGCUGAGGAACGAAAGCUAGGGGAGCAAACAGGAUUAGAUACCCUGGUAGUCCUAGCCCUAAACGAUCAGGACUUGGGGUGCCACCCGUUCGGGUGUCGUCCCGGAGCUAACGCGUUAAGUCCUGCACCUGGGGAGUACGGUCGCAAGACUG
rnacentral:rRNA from 1 species